UACGAAGGGGGCUAGCGUUGCUCGGAAUCACUGGGCGUAAAGGGUGCGUAGGCGGGUUUUUAAGUCAGAGGUGAAAUCCUGGAGCUCAACUCCAGAACUGCCUUUGAUACUGAAAGUCUUGAGUAUGGGAGAGGUGAGUGGAACUGCGAGUGUAGAGGUGAAAAUUCGUAGAUAUUCGCAAGAACACCAGUGGCGAAGGCGGCUCACUGGCCCAUAACUGACGCUGAGGCACGAAAGCGUGGGGAGCAAACAGGG
rnacentral:rRNA from 1 species